rnacentral:rRNA from 1 species
GGCGAACGGGUGAGUAACACGUGGGCAAUCUGCCCUUCACUCUGGGACAAGCCCUGGAAACGGGGUCUAAUACCGGAUAACACUCCUGCCUGCAUGGGCGGGGGUUAAAAGCUCCGGCGGUGAAGGAUGAGCCCGCGGCCUAUCAGCUUGUUGGUGGGGUAAUGGCCUACCAAGGCGACGACGGGUAGCCGGCCUGAGAGGGCGACCGGCCACACUGGGACUGAGACACGGCCCAGACUCCUACGGGAGGCAGCAGUGGGGAAUAUUGCACAAUGGGCGAAAGCCUGAUGCAGCGACGCCGCGUGAGGGAUGACGGCCUUCGGGUUGUAAACCUCUUUCAGCAGGGAAGAAGCGAAAGUGACGGUACCUGCAGAAGAAGCACCGGCUAACUACGUGCCAGCAGCCGCGGUAAUACGUAGGGUGCGAGCGUUGUCCGGAAUUAUUGGGCGUAAAGAGCUCGUAGGCGGCUUGUCACGUCGGAUGUGAAAGCCCGGGGCUUAACCCCGGGUCUGCAUUCGAUACGGGCAGGCUAGAGUGUGGUAGGGGAGAUCGGAAUUCCUGGUGUAGCGGUGAAAUGCGCAGAUAUCAGGAGGAACACCGGUGGCGAAGGCGGAUCUCUGGGCCAUUACUGACGCUGAGGAGCGAAAGCGUGGGGAGCGAACAGGAUUAGAUACCCUGGUAGUCCACGCCGUAAACGUUUGGGAACUAGGUGUUGGCGAC